rnacentral:rRNA from 1 species
GGCCUACCAUGGUGGUAACGGGUAACGGGGUGUUAGGGCACGACACCGGAGAGGGAGCCUGAGAAACGGCUACCACAUCCAAGGAUGGCAGCAGGCGCGCAAAUUACCCAAUCCCGACACGGGGAGGUAGUGACAAUAAAUAACAAUACGGGGUUCUUUCGGAUCUCGUAAUUGGAAUGAGUACAAUUUAAAUCUCUUAACGAGGAACAAUUGGAGGGCAAGUCUGGUGCCAGCAGCCGCGGUAAUUCCAGCUCCAAUAGCGUAUAUUAAAGUUGUUGCAGUUAAAAAGCUCGUAGUUGAAUUUCGGGGUCAGUAGGUUGGUCGUGCCACAGGUAUGAACUGGUCUCACUGAUUCCUCCUUCCUGAUGAACCGUAAUGCCAUUAAUUUGGUGUUGGGGGGAGACUGGACUGUUACUUUGAAAAAAUUAGAGUGUUUAAAGCAGGCUAACGCUUGAAUACAUUAGCAUGGAAUAAUGAAAUAGGACGUUCGGUCUUAUUUUGUUGGUUUCUAAGAUUGACGUAAUGAUUAAUAGGGAUAGUUGGGGGCAUUAGUAUUCAAUUGUCAGAGGUGAAAUUCUUGGAUUUAUUGAAGACUAACUACUGCGAAAGCAUUUGCCAAGGAUGUUUUCAUUAAUCAAGAACGAAAGUUGGGGGCUCGAAGACGAUCAGAUACCGUCCUAGUCUCAACCAUAAACGAUGCCGACCAGGAUCGGCGGAUGUUGCUUUUAGGACUCCGCCGGCACCUUAUG